rnacentral:rRNA from 1 species
UACGUAGGGGGCUAGCGUUGUCCGGAAUCAUUGGGCGUAAAGAGCGUGUAGGCGGCCCGGUAAGUCCGCUGUGAAAGUCGGGGGCUCAACCCUCGAAUGCCGGUGGAUACUAUCGGGCUAGAGUGCGGAAGAGGCGAGUGGAAUUCCUGGUGUAGCGGUGAAAUGCGCAGAUAUCAGAAGGAACACCGAUUGCGAAGGCAGCUCGCUGGGACGUAACUGACGCUGAGACGCGAAAGCGUGGGGAGGCAAACAGG